rnacentral:rRNA from 1 species
UACGAAGGGGGCUAGCGUUGCUCGGAAUCACUGGGCGUAAAGGGCGCGUAGGCGGCCUGACAAGUCGGGGGUGAAAGCCUGUGGCUCAACCACAGAAUUGCCUUCGAUACUGUAGAGCUUGAGACCGGAAGAGGUAAGUGGAACUGCGAGUGUAGAGGUGAAAUUCGUAGAUAUUCGCAAGAACACCAGUGGCGAAGGCGGCUUACUGGUCCGGUUCUGACGCUGAGGCGCGAAAGCGUGGGGAGCAAACAGG